AAGGGUUCAAGGGCUGCCUCCUGAGUUGGCAAGAGAACCAGGGUUGCGGGAUAUCGUGAGCCUAGUUCUUGGGGAAGCUGGAAGGAUGCUUGUUGCCCAGUGACAACGCUGCUUCACGGCACCCCUUGGUUUCCCGCAGCCCCGGAUGCAUCUCAUUAAAAGGAAAGAGGGGCGGCUGGGUGACACGUUUCCUGAAGUGGCAUUUUCCAUGCCCCCAGUCUUGGUAUCUUGUUGGUGCCCAGUGACCUCUGGAUAUAUUAGGCAGCUUUAAAUUAUAAUUAAAAUCAUAACUGUGGUCCUAAAACAAUAAUAGAUGUUGAAUUAUACCAACGCCAAAUUAGGAUGUCCAGAAAAUGGUUUGAAGGAAAGCAGAAUGAUCCUGGGAGACAAUGGACUAGCUUGCAGAGCAAACUGAAAGGGAUCUUCAGACAGCACUGCCAUGAACCCCCCCAUGGGUCACGGAGACAGGUCAGGCUGCUCUCAGGCCGGCCUUCUCAGCAGCCACGCUCCUCAGCACGGCCAGGUGUGCCCGACUCCAGGCUUUCCCAGGAAGGAGGACCAGGCACGAGUGGAAUCAUUCAGAAGCCAAAGGAAGGUAUGGCAGGACCAAGCCACCGAGAAGGCAGUCAACUCAGUGACACCAGUAAAAAGAAGAGCAACAAAGACCUGGGACUGGGCAGGAGCCUGGGAACAAAUUCCCCGGGAGGGAAGCGGGCGGUGGCUGCCGCCUAACUGCCCUGGAGGGUUAAUCUCCUGUGUGCUCCUCUGAUUGGGGAUUUGGGGGAAACUCAAGGAGGAUGUUUUCUCUUUCAAACAUUUGAAAAAGCUAUUUUCAGCUGUUUUUAGGGAGGGAGGAACAAGAGCAUUCCUCUCUCAAACCACAAGAAACCUUCAUGAAUAUGGCUAGAAAUGGAAAGUAAAUUUGUUAUUUGUUGCUUCGAUGAUUUGAGCCUUUUCAGAGUUACCUCAGGACCCUUCAAACGGGGGGAAUCUGGACAUGUUAAAAGCAGAACGAAGCACCUCUGAAUGCCACGUCCCUGAACAUAAUUGAAAAAGCGACGCAAGUCACAGUGCCCUCCUCAUGGGUUCAGCAUUUCCAGCGCAUCCCUGACUCAGAUCCCUUGGAGAAGUUCGCGCCAAACCAUAGCCACAGUCACUUGCCCAUCAGAAGAGGUUCUAGCUGUUCGGUUCUCUGCCUUAUAAAGACUUCACUAAGCGGUGUCUGGGGUUCUUGAAUGGGUAACAUUCUUUUGUUGAUCUUAUUGCAAAAUUGGGGGAAAGAAUAACUGGUUUUGUUACUACACUGGCCUUAAGACUUACCUGAUAAACAACACUGAGUAAUAAGAUUGGAAAUUCUCUUAAAAAAUUUUUGCACAUUAUUUGGUUACAGUCUCCAUAUGGCAUAAAGGCGAGGGGAGAAAACCUUCCAUUCCCUGUCUCUCCCCCCACCCCCCACCCCAACCACAUAUUUAAUCCAUGCGCUUAUGUCAAACUUAAUUACAGGACUUUUGGCAUAAAAUAACAGUCCACAUCCUCAGAGAAAAGAACUUAAGCAGUUAAUAUGUGCGAUUGAGUGAAAUUGCUUUGCUGAAUGUUUAUGAGUAACCCAAGACCAGUGAAAUGUGCUGAUAUUUUAACCAUUUCGGUGCUGACCUUGGGCCGAGAUGCCGCAAAAUAGGAAGAAAGUAAAAUCAUUCCCCCCGGUGUGCCGCGGAUCACAUUUCCUGAAACGGAGAGCGCUGGGUAAGACGAUUUUAUGGCCCUUUCACAAAUAGGUUUGCGGAGGGAAAACAAUAAAGCCAGGACAAUUAUGGGCUUGUCACCAUCUCAAGGAACUGCCAGGAUUCCACCAAAGAGCACCGAGUUCAAACCCACGUCCGGUUCUGCAGAAACCCUCUGCAGCAGGAGCGCUCCUGCAAGGCGCAAUUACUUUUGCCGUUGGGUUUUCCCUACCCCCUUGGACCUUCUCAGAUAUUUUCCUUUCCCAUCCACCCCCAGUUUAAUCUGGGUCGUUCCUAAAAUGUAGAGGUUUCUGACCCU